rnacentral:rRNA from 1 species
UGGGGGAUAUUGCACAAUGGGGGAAACCCUGAUGCAGCGACGCCGCGUGUAGGAAGACGGUCCUCUGGAUUGUAAACUACUGUCUUCAGGGACGAUAAUGACGGUACCUGAGGAGGAAGCUCCGGCUAACUACGUGCCAGCAGCCGCGGUAAUACGUAGGGAGCGAGCGUUGUCCGGAAUUACUGGGUGUAAAGGGAGCGUAGGCGGGGAGGCAAGUUGGAUGUGAAAACUAUCGGCUCAACUGAUAGACUGCAUUCAAAACUGUUUCUCUUGAGUGAAGUAGAGGCAGGCGGAAUUCCUAGUGUAGCGGUGAAAUGCGUAGAUAUUAGGAGGAACACCAGUGGCGAAGGCGGCCUGCUGGGCUUUUACUGACGCUGAGGCUCGAAAGUGUGGGGAGCAAACA